rnacentral:SRP_RNA from 1 species
GCUGGGUAUGAUGGCACACACCUGUAAUUCCAGCUAUCAGCGGGGAGAAGCUGGUGGAUCUCUUGAGUUCAGGAGUCCUGAGCUUCAGAGGGCUAUUGCUGAUCAAGUGUCUGCAUUAAGUCCAACACUACUAGAGUAAGCCCCUGGGAACAAGGAGUGAUCAGGUUGCCUAAGAAGAGGCAAACCAGUUGAGGCUGGAAAUGGGGCAGGUCAAACUCCAGUGCCAAUCAAGAGUGGGAUCAGUCUGUGAAUGGCCCCUGCACCUCCACCUGGACGAGAUAGGGAGACUCAGUCUUCAU